rnacentral:lncRNA from 1 species
GCAUGUUGAAUAUUGUGUGGAAUGUUACUGACUAACAGGUGAAAUUUAGACAGUAAUCGAAAUUAGGGGUUUGCUCCCAAUUACAUAUUCAAAAAAGGCAUUGCACUAGCCGAGGCACGUGGGAAACAUUACCUACAACAUUACUAUGUACAAAGGAAGAAAGCUGCCUACUAUGUAGAUGGAAAACUAUCAUCGAUAACUAAAUGAAAGAUCUCAAAAACAGGUGAAGG